rnacentral:rRNA from 1 species
GAUAAACGCUGGCGGCGUGCCUAAAACAUGCAAGUCGAACGGUUCACGUCUUUCGGGGCGUGGAUAGUGGCGGACGGCUGAGUAACACGUGGGUGACCUGCCCUCGAGCGGGGGAUAACUGCCCGAAAGGGUGGCUAAUACCGCAGAUGUCGUUUCUUCGGUGAGAUGACUGAACCUCUGGGGUUCGGGGAGGGGCCCGCGGCCGAUUAGCUAGCUGGUGGGGUAACGGCCUACCAGGGCGACGAUCGGUAGCUGGUCUGAGAGGAUGAUCAGCCAGACUGGGACUGCGAACGGCCCAGACUCCUACGGGAGGCAGCAGUUAGGAAUUUUGGGCAAUGGGCGAAAGCCUGACCCAGCAACGCCGCGUGGGUGAUGAAGGCCCUCGGGUCGUAAAGCCCUUUUCCCAGGGAAGAUAGUGACGGUACCUGGGGAAUCAGCCCCGGCUAACUACGUGCCAGCCGCCGCCGUAACAC